GGAGUCCCAUCCGGGGAAUUCCU
rnacentral:snRNA from 1 species